CGAAGUCGUUACUUUAACCCUUGUGGAGAAGGACGCCGAAGGUGGGGCUGAUGACUGGGGUGAAGUCGUAACAAGGUAGCCGUACCGGAAGGUGCGGCUGGAUCACCUCCUAACAGGGAGACAAUAAAUUGAUUGUGAUGUCUAAGUUAUUUAUUCUUAGGCCGCAAUCCUGUCACCUUAAGGUCGAUCGGUACCUCAGAUUUUUGAAUUAGUUUUAUAAUUGAUUCUUUGAUUUCAGUUCCUAAACUUGUCUAGGUCACACCCAACAAAGGUUUCUCCUGGGCCAUUAGCUCAGGUGGUUAGAGCGCACCCCUGAUAAGGGUGAGGUCCCUGGUUCAAGUCCAGGAUGGCCCAUUCGUUGUUGGGGGUAUAGCUCAGUUGGUAGAGCGCCUGCUUUGCAAGCAGGAUGUCAGCGGUUCGAGUCCGCUUACCUCCACUGAAAGCUAUCCUGAUAACUAAAUUCUGGAGAAAAAAAUUGUAGAUGUGGCUUAGAAUUGUCUAUUUGAAGAGAACCUAGCUUCUUGUCAUCUUUUUAUAGUUGAUAAAAUGCUGGGCUCGCAUGGAUUAUUUCCAUGAGAAUUCAGUAGAACCUUGAAAACUGCAUAGAUAAGAAAGAAUAAAGCAUCUCAUGGAUGCAUAAUUCUGUUUUUAUAAUUUAGCCUUAAAACCAAAUUAUUUAAUUCUAGAAUUCACGUUUAAUUCUUGAGUAAAAGCCGAGCACAAUUGAUUUUGUGAUUGUAUUUAAGGUCAAGCUACAAAGGGCUCAUGGCGGAUACCUUGGCACACAGAGGCGAUGAA
rnacentral:misc_RNA from 1 species